GAACCAGAACCUAGAUGCACAAAACCUUGCCACACACUUUGUCAGGAUAGGAUUAAAAUAAGAUAAAAUUUGUUAAGGGUUGUUAUUUUUGUCAUUUUAUGGAGGGAUAAUUACAUGGUUGAGGGUACAUAAUAGGAUAAGGUAAAAUUGUGAAAAUUAAUCUUUUGGAGGGACAAAAUUACGUGUCUACAUCCUGCCCCCUUUGAAUGUAAACACAGAGUGUUUUCUUACAAAGAAAUAAACAACGAGAUAGAAUUUUAUCCCGAUCAUUAUUCAAAGGAAGAAAUAGAAGAAAGAAGGACAACCAAAUCUUGACUUAGGACAACCUACCUACCCAAGUUAUCGGGGAAUCAAUUGACAGGUAUCCCAAAAGAUUGGAAGGAAAUGGACUAUACCGAGUUGGAGAGUCGAGUGAGGUUCCAUCGAGGUUCCAAUCUGCAGCUCUGUUAUUACAUCAAAAAUGAAAAUUACAAGUUAAAAAAUAAAUGAAACUACAAAACUUCUAUCUAUGCAGCUUCUUUUGGACUCUUGAUUUGAGUUUCAUCACCCUAUUAUUCAGGCGGGCUCCUGACUUGGAAUUUCUUCAACUUGUUGCAUGGCUUUAAAUUUCUUCACCCUAUUCUCCAGCUGGGCUCCUGACUUGCUAUUUUUCAAUUUGUUAACUUUCAAUUUCUUCACCUUGUUGCUUGGUUUUCAACUUCUUCACCUUAUUGUUUGACAUUCAAUCUCUUAACCUUGUUACUUGACUUUCAUUUUAUUUGCCAUGUUCUUCAGGCGGGCUCCUGAAAUCACAUCAAAACUAAAAGAAAAUUAUUCCAGACCAAUAUUAUUAUAAAGAGAAUUCAUAUGCCAGGAAAGUGAAGUUCUAAACACAAGAAUUAAAUUUUUCCUCAAUUUAUCAUCAAAGGACUUUUUUGAAAGUCACAUCAUUAUAAGAAUCAAAGAGAAUGACUCGACUAAAAGGUAUGUCUUAUAGGAAUCAAGGGAAUGACUCGACUAAAAGGUACGUCUUCUAGGGGUCAAGGGGAAUGACUAGACUAAAAGGUACGUCUUAUAAGAAUCCAAGGGAUGACUCGACUAAAAGGUACAUCUUAUAGGAAUCAAAGGGAAUGACUCCACUAAAAGGAACGUCUUAUAGGAAUCAAAGGGGAUGACUCGACUAAAACGUACGUCUAAUAGGAAUCAAAGGAAAUGACUCGACUAAAAGGUACAUCUUAUAAGAGUCAAGGGGAAUGACUCGACUAAAAGGUAUGUCUUCUAGGAAUAAAAGGGAAUGACUCGACUCAAAGGUACGUCUUAUAGGAAUCAAAGAAAAUGACUCAACUAAAAGGUACGUCUUAUAGGAAUCAACGAAAAUGACUCGACUAAAAGGUACGUCUUCUAAGAGUCAAGGGAAUGACUCGACUAAAAGGUACAUCUUAUAGGAAUCAAAGGGGAUGACUCGACUAAAAGCUACGUCUAAUAGGAAUCAAAGGAAAUGACUCGACUAAAAGGUACGUCUUCUAGGGGUCAAGGGGAAUGAUUCGACUAAAAGGUACAUCUUAUAGGAAUCAAAGGGAAUGAAUCGACUAAAAGGUAUGUCUUAUAGAAAUCAAAGGGGAUGCCUCGACUAAAAGGUACGUCUAAUAGGAAUCAAAGGGAAUGACUCAACUAAAAGGUACGUCUUCUAAGGGUCAAGGGGAAUGACUCGACUAAAAGGUACGUCUUAUAGGAAUCAAAGGGAAUGACUCGACUAAAAUGUACGUCUCUAAGGAAUCAAGGGAAAUGACUCGACUUAAAGGUACGUCUUCUAGGAGUCAAAUGGAAUGACUCAACUAGAAGGUACGCCUUCUAGGAGUGAAGGUUCAAUUUAAUAAGUGUAUCACCCAACAAAUGAAAACUAAAAUCCCUGGACAGGAAAGUGUGUCUCCGAGGGAUAUAGGAUGAUGAAUUUUUAUCAUGAUUUGAUUAUCAAACCUGUGCAACAACAUUGCUUCCUGCAUUUGUAAAAGUGAGGCAUUGCGGCCCUUGAUGUUUAUUCUCUAAAGUCCCUUCUUUGAAGGUAAUUUGUUUCCUGUUUCAUCAAAGAAAACUUAUGAGUUUAAAACAUGGUGGCUGGUUUGUAGCUUUAGCUUUCUCGGCGAUCGCUCUUGCCCUCUUCAUAUUUAACUUUGCUUCCAAUCAUUAGCAUAUGUCAUUGACUUGCUGAAUCAUUGACCCGAACUCAGAUUAUUAAGAUUGACUGAAACAAACACAGUAUCUCUGUUUUUCCCUACUUCUCAGAUAGACCCUUUGAACCUUGGUAUUUCCAUGAGUUUCCCGACUUGUCUGUUGACAAAACUUUCUGCAUGCCCUUUUUUUUCGUCUUACAAUCAUGUCUCUUUCAUGUGCUAGCUUUUAUCUUGCUUUGUGCAAUUAAAGAAGCUGGUAGCCAGUUUUGAAAUCUUUUCUCACUUGUUUGACACGAAUUUGACUCAAAGAUAAGAAAGAAAAAAAAAGUGAUAAUUUUUUUUAUUUGGAUAACUGACUUAAGAAAGAUAAAACAAAAAUAAAAAGAAGAAAGAAAAGACAAUGAAUGUCCCCAUUUGAAACAAAGAAAUGAAAAAUUCAUCUAAAAAUGACAGUCAACUCUAAUGAUUAUGCCAUGUAUUUUGGAUUAAGCAUAUUGAUCUUUUCAUCCAAACCUUCUACCAAUUGUUGUUGAGUUAAUGGCUUUGAAACUGAGUUACUUCCUUAGGCCAAAUUCAUUCGGAAACCUCAUUCGACUAGUGGCGCCUUGAAGGGUUUUCGCCAACAAACCUGUUUCUUUCUCUCAGCUCACCAUAAUCUUAUGGUGUCCGUGAGGGUUUUCACCAAUAAGACUCUCUCAUUUUUAUUUUUCUCAACUUACCAUCACCUUACGGUCCUCGUGAGAGUUUUCAUCAAUAAGACUCUCUCAUUUUUAUUUCUCUCUUAAUUCCUUAUGCUGAGGAAGACAAGUAGUUCCCAAAUGCAUCAUCAUAUCCCUUGCAUGCUUAGCCUUAACAUCCUCAAAGAUUGAUCUGAAGGUCUUUCUUUGGUUGUAACUUGGCUUUUGGAUAGGGUUAAAAAGAAAGGAUGGCAUAAGGCUCAAUCGAUACUUGAAGUGGGGUGGGACUUACAACUUUUGAAAUCGACUCAAACAAUGAGGAUUAACUCAUGCCCCAGUUUCUUUUGACUGGGUGACUCUAAAUUGUUUAUAUGGUUGGACCAAGCCCGAAGCAGAGCAACCUACAUAUCUCACCCCCGAGAGGAGAGAAUCAGGUCAUGCGUAGUUCUGGCAGCUCGUUCUUUUGCUUGAUUCUAAUUUUCUUUUCUUUUCUUUUCUUUUAUUGACUCUCUUUUUGGGAUUUUUCUGACUUUAUUUUGCUUGACACUCUUUUUUUCUUUUUGGACACAUUUUUCUCUUCUUCUUUUUUGAAAUUUUCUGACUCUAUUCUUUUACUCGCAAUUUUUCUUUUGAGCUUUGCUGACUCUAUCUUGAUUCCAAAAGAGAUGUAAGAAAGAAAAUAAAACUAAGGCUCAAAUGGGGUAAACAAAGGAUGACACAAUGUUUGAAUAACAGAAUGAAAUGUCUUUGUCAUAUCAAUCAUUGAAGAUGCUAGUACAUAGCAUGUAAUGUGAAAGUACAUGAUCAAUAUCACUUAUGACAUGUUUUACAACGCUAACUUUCCCUGAGCAUGUGUGUCACCUCUUCUUCUACACUUGUCGAACAUACAACUCCACCUUUGUUGUACAUCUCUCACAUUGAAUGACUUAUGCUUUCGUGGAGUUGAUUUUUGUUCUGUUCCUCGGUAUCACACAUCUGCUAUUUGACCUAAUUGAGCUAUGUUUCUUAAUUGAUGACCAAGUUAUUCUUAUGCUUCUCAAAAUAAUUUCCUUGAUUUUCAAAGAAAGCUUCAGCUCAUCACUAAAUGUCUCAACACUCUACCUAUUCCUCAGAUGUUUUUUCUAACUUUAGGCCUCUGAUUCAAAGUUCUUGCUUAAAACAGGACUUUAAGAUCUGGCUGAAAUUCCGCAGGCAUAUCAUAUCACUAGAGCCAACAUAAAAUGUACUAUGUACAGGAAACAAACAAACAAACAACACAUAUUUAAAACACAAAGGAAAAAAGGGACAUUCUCUUUAGUUGAAACAAAGGAGAAAAGGGUUUGAACAUAAACGACCAAGGGACAAAACAAGAUAGAUCCCGAACUACAACCCUGAAGUAAUUCAAAAAAUAAAAAAUAAAUCAAAACAAACUACCAGAUCUCGUCUUAGUAGGGAGAUGGGUGACUUCUCAAUUGCUCAGCCUGGCAACUUAGCCACUGAUUUGCAUAUCAUCAUGACUAGAGCUUUCCUUACUAUCAAUGUUCUGUACCAUAAUUGAUCUAUCUUGAAUCAUCUUUUUAAUUUCUCCUUUCAAAGUCCGACAAUCUUCAAAACUGUGACCCUGAACAUCAAAAUGAUAUGCACAUCGUACACUAGGUCAAAACUUCUUUAAUGGGGGUCAGGAGUAUACCCAAGGAGAGGAGUGAUCAUACCCCGUUGUACCAAUUUUUGAAAUAAGCUGGCAUACGACUCUCCAAUUGGUGUGAAGCUAUCACUCAAUUUUCGCCUCAUUUAAUUGUUUGGAUUGGAUCCAAAAUUGGCCCUAGAAAGGCUUUCAUAGAUUUGUGGAGUCGGAGGGUAACUCUGAGGAGUUGGUGCACGCCAUUGUGAGUAAGAAGGGAGUUGAACAUAUGGUUGUGCGUAGUAUACUAGAUAUGAAGGUGGGGAAAUAUAGUAUAAUGAAUUUUGGGAGGGAUUAUAGAAAGCUUGGGUAUGAACUUGGGCCUGAGAUUGACGGCAACGACGACGUCGUCUUCUUGGAUGUGCCCGUUCUCCAACUACAAUAGUAACUAUAUCUUAAUCAUUCUUCUUCCCUCCAGUUUCCUUUAAUUGAUUGUAAUAUUGUUCUAAAUGUUUCACGGAUUCGUCCUAUCCAUCUUGCUCCUUAAAUUUUGAUAUCUCGAAUAUUGGAGAAAGGUUAGCACUUGAAGGCAUACCCCAGUCUUUGAAUGCAACAUUUUCUUUAUUCGCAUGUCCUAGAGAAUUUUUCAUAGCAUUUUCUGCACUCUUUAUUUUUCCAACCAUUUUCUUCGACUCUUCUGGCACAUUGGACUUCUUGUUAAGAAAUUUUGGUGGUCUAUUUAACUUAAAAACAGGCUCAGGAGUAUAACAAUGAUCACCAAAAGUUUUGAAUAUAGGUUCACUAGCAGCAUGGGGACGUACAAUUAUUGGGCGAGCCAGUGUGGAAGUCCCAGUAGAGGAUUGAGCAACAAGAUCAUAGACGACAUGUGGUGUUGUGAAUGUAGCAAGCUUAUGUUGAGGAGCUAGAGAAAAGGUGGUAGAAGUAUUGAGAUGCUUUUGGCUUGGAAUAAAUUCUAAGUCAUGAUGCAGUGCAUCAACAACAGUAGAAAACUGACUUUGAGAUUUUGGUGGAAAACUCGAGGUAUUUAUAGGAUCAAUAAAGGAAAGUGGAGGAGGAGGCAACCCACUGGCCCAAGCUCAAUGAAUUUCUAUCAUUUGUUGCCUUAGCCUCCUAAUUUCUUGCUUCAAACUCUCAUUUUCCUGAUUCUUUGUUUGAUCCAUGAUGUCACUCUUUAUAAUUUUGUUGGAUACAACUAACCCUUUGGAUUUGGUGUGAUGUGAAAGACUAGCCAAAAUGUCAAAAACCAACCACCUUAAACUGACUCAAUAAAAAAAAACAAAUGUGUUAGAGUUCAACACUUUUUCAAAACCUCUUUUUCCUUCUGAUCACCGAACCCAAGAAGGGCGCCUACGUAUCUCACUCCCGAGAGAGGAGAAUCAGGUGAGCAUAGUUCAUGAAGUCUUGCCAAAAUAUCCAAUUAAACUCUUUUUUUUUCUUUUUCUUAAAACUUUACGAAGAAAUGAAAAUAACAAAUUGUCAAAAGAAUUGACGAAAAUCUUUUUGCAUUUUUCAUGUUAAACAUCCCUAUACAAAGUGAAACCUAUGAUUACUAAAGAAAAUCCCUAGAUGUACUGAUUUAUCUGGCAGUUCACUAUGCGUCGAAUGAUUCUUUGCUAUUUCUUUUGGGGUUUUCAAUUUGAAUUUCCUACGAAAAUGAAACUUGAACCUAUUAAAGAAAAAUCUUUUUGUAGUUUUCUUUUAAAACAUGUAUACGACACCUACUCUAAAUGAAGAGUGAAGAAAAUCUUUUUGGAUUUUUCAAAUAAGAUCCCCGAACCAAAAUAGGCUGCCUAUGUAUCUCACUCUCGAGAGAGGAGAAUCAGGGGUGCGGAGUUUGUCCAGAUUGGACAAUUAAGGAUUAAAGAAUAAACUCAACCCUGACUUAAGAGACAGAACAACAACAAUAAAAACUUUUUUUGGGGGGGAUUUUUAAUUUGACACUCCACAUAAGACUGACACCAAUAACUAUGAAUGAAAAAUCUUUUGGUAUCUUCAUUAUAUGAAAUGUACAGAACUUCCACCAUCUUUUUUUAAUUUUUCUUUUAUGAAAACUCCUAUGAAUGAAAAAUCUUUUUUUUGAAAUUUGCGAAUUAUGAAUGAUUACUAAAGAAACAAAAGAAAAAUCUUUUCAAUAUUUUUUUGUAUUUUGCGAAGAUGGUGCAAAUGGUGAAAAAAAAACUUUUUGAAUUUUUAGAUUGUGAAAAGACAAAAACCAUAAAGAACUCUAAAAACUACUAAAUUCUUUUUAUUUUUUUCGACUCACUUUCCUUUUUUUUUUCAAUUUUUCAUUGCCUACACACUUUACUUCCAACACAUACUUUCUCCGAAUCAGUCCGUCAAAUGACCACGUUACCCUCAAAGAUGCAACAUUUAGCACAUAAGGAUGCUGUAGAGGUGAGUCUCUUACAAAGGACCAAAUGGGCCUCGGUAGGUCUCAAUAUGAUGCACAUAAGUAUGACCUAAAGGUUGAUCAACGCUGGAGUUCACUAACAAGAUUGUUCGGGGGAGCAAAUGGUCGAUAGUGGCUGUUUUGGCUGUCCACCUACUCCAUACCAGCCGAUGGCUCCCCCUCCUAAAAUAAGGGUGACUUAACUAUAGAUCGUGUACACAGCGUGUACUAUAGAACUUGUUGCAGAAAGAAUUAACUCGGAUUAUGCACAUGAUCCUAGUUAUAAAGCGGUAACAGAUAAGAUAAAAAUUAUAAAUAAAGAGCACAUAGGCACUCAACAAUGAUAAAAUAAACAACAAACGAUAACACAAACAAUGUUUACACACCCAUAAUGUCAAACUAAGCCGAUACAACUCCAAAAAAAUAAGCUCGAAUUCUGAAAAGGUUCCCCAGCAGAGUCGCCAUAGCUGUCACACCCCUUUUUUUCACUCCCAAAAAAUAAUUGAAUUUUAAGGUUUGAAAGGAUUUUUAUUAUUAAAGUGACAAAAGGUUGAAAAUUUUCUUGGAAAAAAGGAUUAUAUACAUUUUUUAUUCAGAGUCGACACUUGACAUAAAUCGGGUGUGCCAAGUCACCUUUGGAAAUCCUUUUUUAAAACAGUUUUGACUCUAAAACUGAUCCGCGAACAGAGAUUUUGGUUAAGGAAUUCUAUUGAUCGAAGGGAAGGUGUUAGACACCCCUCGAUCCCAUGGUUCGACCACGGUCUCUUGGUGGAGUGUAACGGCUAAUUUGACAUCACAAAUGUAUAAACCACACAAAAACACAUAAAAUAAUCAACCACAAACAAAACAAAUCCAAAAUAUAGUGUCUAGUCCAAUUAUACAGUCCAGAAUAAAAAGGUACUGACAAGUAAACCUACACUAAUCCUAAACUACUCUUCAAUGAUUUACCCGAUGCCUCGGGCCUUGAUCGCGAGCCUCCUUUGCGUACAUGAUACUUCGGGGCAUUCCCCGAUAAAUAAGUAUAGUGUGGCCUCGGGGCAUUCCCCGAUGAAUGAAUACAUUUGAUGAAAUAUAAUAAAAAUGGAGAAAUCGUACAACACAGACAUUCACACAUUCAAUUAUAUAGAAUCCUAUGAGUUGCCUACCCCGAGCCUACCGUUUGCCUACCCAGCUCGACCUAUCAUGACAUUAUCAUAUUCAAUGACAUCAAUGAAUCAAAAGUAAAUUAACGCUUGCUUUUAUCGAUUUUUCAAUUUCCGACCCCCAAAUUCACUCGAGUUGGAUAUUAUGUCAUCAAACAAUCCAUAAUCAUGGAAAUCCAACAAUAAAUCAAAACCAACAAUCAUUCACACCAUCAAAACACACCAAAAUCAAAUUAUAUGAUAAAAUUAAGAGAUGAUGAGAUAGAAUUGGACCUCAAUAGAAGUUUAACCACAAAAUUUCUUCAGCAAUUUCUAAUAAUACUUAGAAAAAGAGCAGCGAUUGGAAUCUCAAAUCGACCUCAGCCAACAAAAACCCAACUCGGUAUUGAAACUGCCAACCGCACAAAUUUAAAACCAGUACCAAUAGACUCAGAACUUUGAAUCACGAAUUUCAAACUUAAACUCCAUUUUACCCAUACCCGAGGAUUGUUCCGAUGGCUUUCGCCGCCUGAAUGGUACCAACAGUGAUGGGGUGAUCGGGUUUUAUGAUUUUGAUGGAGGUGGAGCUGAUAUUCAUAUCGCCGGAGUCCCAGUGAGCUCCAACAGUGACAGACAGACAGAGUAUGAUUCAUAUCUCAGGCAAAACAGUGGUUCCCGGUGAGAUUUCACCGGAACCAAUACCCCCACCGUCGUUUCUCUAUUCUCUCUCACUUACACUCAGAUUUUUCUUAUUUUCCUCCCAAAUUUAUCACACCCUCUCUCUUUUAGCUGCUCUCUCCCAUCUCUCUCACUCCCUCGAUCCUCCACUGUGUGUGUGCCUAUCGUGUGUAUGCUGUGUGCAUUUUAUUCUCUGGUGAGGUGUGAUGGUGAGUGAUCUUAUGAGUGUCAUGGGAUCUGAUGGAGAGUAUUUUUUAUGAAGAAGAAAGUGAAUUUUUUGAAAGUGAAAAUUGAAAAAUAGAGUCUCCCUGGUUGUGCAUAUGUAUGGAGAAGAAGGGUGAAUGGAAUUCUUGUUUUGUUGUGGGGCCCGUGAGUGUAUGUGAGGUCUCCUUUUUGAAUGUAGUGUGUUGUAUAUAUUUGUUUUCAAUGUGUAAGAAUGGAAGUUGGCCAAUAUUCCCUGUGGGCCCCUGUGUGUCUAUGAAUGCCCAAAUCCAAAAAUAGAAAAAUCCUCCCUGCGUAUUGAUGAGAAUGUGUGUAUUUGUGUGGGACACGCGAGUGGGGUGAGGGUUAAGGGUAGGUGUCCUAAUUUAAUUGAAGAGGUUGUCAAGAUAUGAUUAAAAUAAGAUAAAAUUUAUUAAGGGUUAUUAUUUUUGUCAUUUUAUGGAGGGAUAAUUACAUGGUUGAGGGUACACAAUAGGAUAAGGUAAAAAUAUUAAAAUUAAUCUUUU
rnacentral:lncRNA from 1 species